rnacentral:rRNA from 1 species
GACGUAGGGCGCGAGCGUUGUCCGGAUUUAUUGGGCGUAAAGCGCGUGUAGGCGGCCCGGUAAGUCCGCUGUGAAAGUCGAGGGCUCAACCCUCGAAUGCCGGUGGAUACUGUCGGGCUAGAGUACGGAAGAGGCGAGUGGAAUUCCUGGUGUAGCGGUGAAAUUCGUAGAUAUUAGGAAGAACACCAGUGGCGAAGGCGGCUCACUGGUCCGGUACUGACGCUGAGGUGCGAAAGCGUGGGGAGCAAACAGG